GUGGGGAAUCUUGCGCAAUGGGCGAAAGCCUGACGCAGCCAUGCCGCGUGAAUGAUGAAGGUCUUAGGAUUGUAAAAUUCUUUCACCGGGGACGAUAAUGACGGUACCCGGAGAAGAAGCUCCGGCUAACUUCGUGCCAGCAGCCGCGGUAAUACGAAGGGGGCUAGCGUUGCUCGGAAUUACUGGGCGUAAAGGGCGCGUAGGCGGACAGCUUAGUCAGAGGUGAAAGCCCAGGGCUCAACCUUGGAAUUGCCUUUGAUACUGGAUGUCUUGAGUUUGGGAGAGGUGAGUGGAACUCCGAGUGUAGAGGUGAAAUUCGUAGAUAUUCGGAAGAACACCAGUGGCGAAGGCGACUCACUGGCCCAAUACUGACGCUGAGGCGCGAAAGCGUGGGGAGCAAACAGGAUUAGAAACCCGGGUAGUCC
rnacentral:rRNA from 1 species